rnacentral:rRNA from 1 species
UACGGAGGGUGCGAGCGUUGUCCGGAAUCACUGGGCGUAAAGGGCGCGUAGGCGGCUUGGGAAGUCUGUGGUGAAAGCUCGUGGCUCAACUGCGAGUCGGCCAUAGAUACUCCUAAGCUCGAGUCGACUAGAGGCAGAUGGAAUUCCGGGUGUAGCGGUGGAAUGCGUAGAGAUCCGGAAGAACACCGGUGGCGAAGGCGGUCGUCUGGGGUCGAAC